rnacentral:rRNA from 1 species
AAAGUGGAGGCUAUUGUAACUGAAGAGAACUGGAAAGUUCCACCGUAGAAGGUAAUAGUCCUGUAAGUGAAACGAGAAGACCACGAGUUAUGAUCCAGAGUACCACGAGACACGUGAAACCUUGUGGGAAGCAGGGAGGACCACCUCCCAAGGCUAAAUACUACCUGAUGACCGAUAGUGAAGCAGUACCGUGAGGGAAAGGUGAAAAGAACCCCGGGAGGGGAGUGAAAUAGAACCUGAAACCGUGUGCCUACAACCGCUCAGAGCCCCUUAUGAGGGUGAUGAGGUGCUUUUUGUAGAACGAGCCAACGAGUUACGGUAUGUAGCAAGGUUAAGUACUUAAGGUACGGAGCCGAAGGGAAACCGAGUCUGAAUAGGGCGACUAGUUGCAUGCCGUAGACCCGAAACCGGGUGACCUAUCCAUGGCCAGGUUGAAGCGAGGGUAAAACCUCGUGGAGGACCGAACCACGUUGCUGUUGAAAAAGCAUGGGAUGAGCUGUGGAUAGCGGAGAAAUUCCAAUCGAACCCGGAGAUAGCUGGUUCUCUCCGAAAUAGCUUUAGGGCUAGCGUCGAGUAUGAGUAGUGGAGGUAGAGCACUGAAUGGGCUAGGGGGCAUAGCGCUUACCGAACCUUAUCAAACUCCGAAUGCCACAUACUUUGAGCUCGGCAGUCAGACUACGAAUGAUAAGAUCCGUGGUCAAAAGGGAAACAGCCCAGAUCGUCAGCUAAGGUCCCAAAGUGUAAGUUAAGUGGGAAAGGAUGUGAGAUUUCUAAGACAACUAGGAUGUUGGCUUAGAAGCAGCCAUUCAUUAAAAGAGUGCGUAAUAGCUCACUAGUCGAGAGAUCUUGCGCCGAAAAUGUAACGGGGCUAAACUUACCACCGAAGCUACGGGCUUGAACU